rnacentral:lncRNA from 1 species
CUCAGGGAAUAGAACUGUAGAGGCUAGGUCUUGAAAAAGAGACCAGGGUAUGAGAUAGCACGCACUUAUCCAAAAACCAUAUUUCAGAGUUGAACGUGGGCAUGUAACUGUCCUUGUUUUUCUGCGUUUUCUUCUCACAUGCUCUGAGUCUCAAAAGAUUCCUGGCACGCGACCAUGUUCGGAGGCUGUUUCUGUACUCAUACAGUCUGUGAUGCCAGAGACACGAAAACACCCCUGAUUUUCUAAGUCUAGACACGAGGGGAUAUCCAGUGACCAAAUACACGCGCCCAUUUGUGUUUUUUUCUAGGAGAAAAAUCAGCUGGGUUCCAUGAAUACACUUCUUUAAUCAACUUUCCAAACCAAAGAACUGUGUGUAUUUGGCAGCCAUAUUUUAAAGAAUAGGCUGAAACCCAAUCAGGUGAAUUAUUGAGGAUUCCUGUGUGUUAGCAUCAUCUUUUCUGGCACUUUAGUUUUAAAAGAACUCCACAAUAUGACAUUUUUGGUUUAAAGAGAUGAUGGAAUUGAAAUUAAGAAAAAUCAUGUCACUUAACACUGGCAGGAAGAAUAUUUCAACUUGAGGUUCUUUAAAGACUCUUUUGUUCUUACUAGGUUCUCCAUCUCCUCAGAGAAAACCAUAAAAGAAGAUAAAUUAGUUAAAAGAAGACCUACAGGAAGAGGGUGGUGUUCUGUGUUGGGAGGCCUGACCGCCGUCAGGAGCAGAAAGGAACCCACCCAUGGGCUGGCUGUGGCCUCAGCUCACCAUGUUGGCCUGGGACAGCAGCUGGGCCCCUGCCAGAUCCUUCUGCUGGCAGCUUCCCUGAUUCCUGGACCAGAUGCGUAGUUAGCUCCAUGAUGGAAGGCACCAGCUUCACCUUCAUCCAGCCUGUCUGUUCUGACCCUGCUUCACAUCCUUCUUUUCCCAACUGCCUGUGGAGUCAGGUGCCAGAAGCAGACACAGAAGCAAGUGUGCACUCUUACCUAGACCUCUUAACCGGCUCCCAGAGUACAGUAAGUUUAAGUCCUGGUAAUUAAUAUAUUAUUAAUAAACAUAUAUAAAUAAAUGUACA